UCUAGACCAAAUUUGGAAGUUAUAAGGCUGCGAUCAGAUUUUGAAUUCCUUUCCUCGUGGUCGGAUACCUACAUUGUUCUUUGGAGAAACAGUCGUAAAAAGAUCCGAAAACACCGACAAAAUGAAUCAUGCGAUAGUGAUCGUCGUGGCCCUAGUCGUGGUCACCUUCGCAUCUGCAGCGCCACACAGACGAUCUCAAAACGACGACAGCGCCUCCCAGUGGUCAUCAUCCAAAACGAAACAUUUAAGCAUCACACCACAACAAAUCGAAAAAGCCUAUAGUGCAAUGAAAGGAAAAGGCACUGAUGACUUUGGUGACAUUUUAGCCCUCGUUGCAGCGGCAGGAGACCAACAUGUUCCAGCAAAACGACAAAAGGAUAUGGAUUAUGGUUGGUCUGGCGGCCGGUUCGGAAAACGUAGCAUCGACGACAAUAACGACCAUAUAUUUUGAGUUCUAGACAAGUAGGACUUUAUAAGUUCAUUUUUGGAAACGCCUCUGGGUGGAAUUGUUGUCCCUCGUAUGAUCUUACUAUUCGCUAUAUCUCAUUUCCAGUUUUAAAGGAUGCAAUACUACGAGAAAAAAAUAUCUUGAGGUUGAAAAGGGGAAAUCCUCAUCGAACACAAUAGUCAUUCAGGACUUCUUUCUACGAUUUCGCCUGGUCGUUCUACGGGACCUCUUCUCCUAAAUUGAACUAAAAUAGAAAUAACCUUCACAGGCAUGUAUAGAUGCGACCAAAAAGACGAAACGAAGAAAUAAACCUAUAAGCACGAGUUAAGCAUCUUGGACCUCCGUAAUGUUGGAAUCAAGUUUGUGAAAUACAGUACAGAUGGCGACAUGCUGUGAAUUGCUUGUUGGUAGCUUGUGAUUAUCCUCUCGCAACUAACACUGACAUCAACUACAAGAUCCUUCCAUUCACCCUCGCCGGCUCCCGCCAGUCUUGACUGGUUACGAUGACUCGAUUGCAAUCUAUUUAUAUCAUAAGCAGCCAAGGUUCUAGAUAACGAGACGUCCUUUGUUGACUCUGGCAAUUUUAUGUAGAUGUCGCUUUCGAUAUCCACACCCUUUGCUAAGUCAUAAACCUCACUACACAUUUGCAGAUGAUUAUCUAUUUUUACUAAAAUAAAAUGGAAUUUUGAAA